UCCCUAAUGGUCCAGUGGAUAGGACUCUGCCCUUCCACUGCAGGGGGCACAGGUUCAAUUCCUGGUUGGGGAA